rnacentral:rRNA from 1 species
GCUUACGGCCAUAUCACGUUGAAAGCACCGGUUCUCGUCCGAUCACCGAAGUUAAGCAACGUCGAGCCUAGUUAGUGCUUAGAUGGGUGACCGCUUGGGAAACCUAGGUGCUGUAAGCG